rnacentral:rRNA from 1 species
UACGAAGGGGGCUAGCGUUACUCGGAUUGACUGGGCGUAAAGGGCGCGUAGGCGGCUUGUACAGUCAGACGUGAAAUCCCUCGGCUUAACCGGGGAACUGCGUCUGAUACUGGAUGGCUUGAGGUUGGGAGAGGGAUGCGGAAUUCCAGGUGUAGCGGUGAAAUGCGUAGAGAUCGGAAAGAACACCAACGGCGAAAGCACUCUGCUGGGCCGACACUGACACUGAGAGACGAAAGCUAGGGGAGCGAAUGGG